rnacentral:rRNA from 1 species
GACGAACGCUGGCGGCGUGCUUAACACAUGCAAGUCGAACGGAAAGGCCCUGCUUUUGUGGGGUGCUCGAGUGGCGAACGGGUGAGUAACACGUGAGUAACCUGCCCUUGACUUUGGGAUAACUUCAGGAAACUGGGGCUAAUACCGGAUAGGAGCUCCUGCUGCAUGGUGGGGGUUGGAAAGUUUCGGCGGUUGGGGAUGGACUCGCGGCUUAUCAGCUUGUUGGUGGGGUAGUGGCUUACCAAGGCUUUGACGGGUAGCCGGCCUGAGAGGGUGACCGGCCACAUUGGGACUGAGAUACGGCCCAGACUCCUACGGGAGGCAGCAGUGGGGAAUAUUGCACAAUGGGCGGAAGCCUGAUGCAGCAACGCCGCGUGCGGGAUGACGGCCUUCGGGUUGUAAACCGCUUUCGCCUGUGACGAAGCGUGAGUGACGGUAAUGGGUAAAGAAGCACCGGCUAACUACGUGCCAGCAGCCGCGGUGAUACGUAGGGUGCGAGCGUUGUCCGGAUUUAUUGGGCGUAAAGGGCUCGUAGGUGGUUGAUCGCGUCGGAAGUGUAAUCUUGGGGCUUAACCCUGAGCGUGCUUUCGAUACGGGUUGACUUGAGGAAGGUAGGGGAGAAUGGAAUUCCUGGUGGAGCGGUGGAAUGCGCAGAUAUCAGGAGGAACACCAGUGGCGAAGGCGGUUCUCUGGGCCUUUCCUGACGCUGAGGAGCGAAAGCGUGGGGAGCGAACAGGCUUAGAUACCCUGGUAGUCCACGCUGUAAACGGUGGGUACUAGGUGUGGGGUCCAUUCCACGGGUUCCGUGCCGUAGCUAACGCUUUAAGUACCCCGCCUGGGGAGUACGGCCGCAAGGCUAAAACUCAAAGGAAUUGACGGGGCCCCGCACAAGCGGCGGAGCAUGCGGAUUAAUUCGAUGCAACGCGUAGAACCUUACCUGGGUUUGACAUGGAUCGGGAGUGCUCAGAGAUGGGUGUGCCUCUUUUGGGGUCGGUUCACAGGUGGUGCGUGGCUGUCGUCAGCUCGUGUCGUGAGAUGUUGGGUUAAGUCCCGCAACGAGCGCAACCCUUGUUCACUGUUGCCAGCACGUUAUGGUGGGGACUCAGUGGAGACCGCCGGGGUCAACUCGGAGGAAGGUGGGGAUGGCGUCAAGUCAUCAUGCCCCUUAUGUCCAGGGCUUCACGCAUGCUACAAUGGCUGGUACAGAGAGUGGCGAGCCUGUGAGGGUGAGCGAAUCUCGGAAAGCCGGUCUCAGUUCGGAUUGGGGUCUGCAACUCGACCUCAUGAAGUCGGAGUCGCUAGUAAUCGCAGAUCAGCAACGCUGCGGUGAAUACGUUCCCGGG